rnacentral:rRNA from 1 species
GACGUAGGGGCCCAGCGUUGCUCGGAAUUACUGGGCGUAAAGGGUUCGUAGGCGGUGCGGCAAGUGGGGAGUGAAAUCUCCGGGCUCAACCCGGAGGCUGCUUUCCAAACUGCUGUGCUCGAGUGUGGGAGAGGCGAGUGGAAUUGCAGGUGUAGCGGUGAAAUGCGUAGAUAUCUGCAGGAACACCCGAGGCGAAAGCGGCUCGCUGGACCACAACUGACGCUGAGGAACGAAAGCUAGGGGAGCAAACAGGAUUAGAAA